CCUACGGGAGGCAGCAGUGAGGAAUAUUGGUCAAUGGGCGCGAGCCUGAACCAGCCAAGUCGCGUGAGGGAAGACGGUCCUAUGGAUUGUAAACCUCUUUUGUCGGGGAGCAAAAGACGCCACGUGUGGCGUUCCGAGAGUACCCGAAGAAAAAGCAUCGGCUAACUCCGUGCCAGCAGCCGCGGUAAUACGGGGGAUGCGAGCGUUAUCCGGAUUUAUAGGGUUUAAAGGGUGGGCAGGCGGAAGAGCAAGUCAGCGGUAAAAUUGAGAGGCUCAACCUCUUCGAGCCGUUGAAACUGGUUUUCUUGAGUGAGCGAGAAGUAUGCGGAAUGCGUGGUGUAGCGGUGAAAGGCAGAGAUAGCACGCAGAACUCCGAUUGCGAAGGCAGCAUACCGGCGCUCAACUGACGCUCAGGCACGAAAGUGUGGGUAUCGAACAGGAUUAGAUACCCUGGUAGUC
rnacentral:rRNA from 1 species